CAGUGAAGACGAGUAGGGCGGGGCACGUGAAACCCUGUCUGAACAUGGGGGGACCAUCCUCCAAGGCUAAAUACUACUGACCGACCGAUAGUGAACCAGUACCGUGAGGGAAAGGCGAAAAGAACCCCGGAGAGGGGAGUGAAAUAGAACCUGAAACCGUGUGCGUACAAGCAGUAGGAGCUCCGCAAGGAGUGACUGCGUACCUUUUGUAUAAUGGGUCAGCGACUUACUGUUCGUGGCAAGCUUAACCGUAUAGGGGAGGCGAAGGGAAACCGAGUCUGAUAAGGGCGCAUAGUCGCGGGCAGUAGACCCGAAACCGGGUGAUCUAGUCAUGCCCAGGGUGAAGGUGCGGUAACACGCACUGGAGGCCCGAACCCACUCCCGUUGCAAAGGUAGGGGAUGAGGUGUGAUUAGGAGUGAAAAGCUAAUCGAACCCGGAGAUAGCUGGUUCUCCUCGAAAGCUAUUUAGGUAGCGCCUCAUAUGUAUCCUCUCGGGGGUAGAGCACUGUUAUGGCUAGGGGGUCAUCGCGACUUACCAAACCAUUGCAAACUCCGAAUACCGAGACGGACUGUAUGGGAGACACACGGCGGGUGCUAACGUCCGUCGUGAAAAGGGAAACAACCCAGACCCACAGCUAAGGUCCCAAAUUUUGUGCUAAGUGGAAAACCAUGUGGAAAGGCACAGACAGCCAGGAGGUUGGCUUAGAAGCAGCCACCCUUUAAAGAAAGCGUAAUAGCUCACUGGUCGAGUCGGUCUGCGGGGAAGAUUUAACGGGGCUAAGCACAGAACCGAAGCUUGGGGUGCAUAACUUUGUUAUGCGCGGUAGAGGAGCGUUCCGUAAGCCGUUGAAGGUGGAUUGAGAAGUCUGCUGGAGGUAUCGGAAGUGCGAAUGCUGACAUGAGUAACGAUAAUGCGGGUGAAAAACCCGCACGCCGAAAGCCCAAGGUUUCCUUGCGCAACGUUAAUCGGCGCAGGGUGAGUCGGCCCCUAAGGCGAGGACGAAAGUCGUAGUCGAUGGGAAGCAGGUUAAUAUUCCUGCACCUCGCGUAAGUGCGAUGGAGGGACGGAGAAGGUUAGGUGUACCAGGCGUUGGUUGUCCUGGGGAAAGGCGGUAGGUUUGGAUCUUUGGCAAAUCCGGGAUCCUUUAAGACCGAGCACCGAGACGAGCCUUUAUGGCGAAGUCACUGAUACCACGCUUCCAGGAAAAGCUCCUAAGCUUCAGCUUACGCAGACCGUACCGUAAACCGACACAGGUGGGUAGGAUGAGAAUUCUCAGGCGCUUGAGAGAACUCGGGUGAAGGAACUAGGCAACAUGGCACCGUAACUUCGGGAGAAGGUGCACCCUUUUUGGUGGCUCGUGCGAGCUAUAGCUGAAGAGGGUCGCAGUAACCAGGCCGCUGCGACUGUUUAUCAAAAACACAGCACUCUGCAAACACGAAAGUGGACGUAUAGGGUGUGACGCCUGCCCGGUGCUGGAAGGUUAAUUGAUGGGGUCAGCCGCAAGGCGAAGCUCUUGAUCGAAGCCCCAGUAAACGGCGGCCGUAACUAUAACGGUCCUAAGGUAGCGAAAUUCCUUGUCGGGUAAGUUCCGACCUGCACGAAUGGCGUAACGACAGCGGCGCUGUCUCCACCCGAGACUCAGUGAAAUUGAAAUCGCUGUGAAGAUGCAGCGUUCCCGUGGCAAGACGGAAAGACCCCGUGAACCUUUACUAUAGCUUUACACUGAACGUUGAGUUCGUCUGUGUAGGAUAGGUGGGAGGCUAUGAAACCAUGGCGCUAGCUGUGGCGGAGCCAUCCUUGAAAUACCACCCUGUCGUGCUUGACGUUCUAACCUGGGCCCAUUAUCUGGGUCGGGGACCGUGUAUGGUGGGUAGUUUGACUGGGGCGGUCUCCUCCUAAAGAGUAACGGAGGAGCUCGAAGGUACGCUCAGCGCGGUCGGACAUCGCGCACUGUGUGCAAAGGCAUAAGCGUGCUUGACUGCAAGAUCGACGGAUCAAGCAGGUAGGAAACUAGGACUUAGUGAUCCGGUGGUUCUGUAUGGAAGGGCCAUCGCUCAACGGAUAAAAGGUACUCCGGGGAUAACAGGCUGAUACCGCCCAAGAGUUCAUAUCGACGGCGGUGUUUGGCACCUCGAUGUCGGCUCAUCACAUCCUGGGGCUGUAGUCGGUCCCAAGGGUAUGGCUGUUCGCCAUUUAAAGUGGUACGCGAGCUGGGUUCAGAACGUCGUGAGACAGUUCGGUCCCUAUCUGCCAUGGGCGUUGGAGAUUUGAGAGGGGCUGCUCCUAGUACGAGAGGACCGGAGUGGACGAACCUCUGGUGUUCCGGUUGUCACGCCAGUGGCAUUGCCGGGUAGCUAUGUUCGGAAGCGAUAACCGCUGAAAGCAUCUAAGCGGGAAGCGCGCCUCAAGAUGAGAUCUCCCGGGGCACAAGCCCCCUGAAGGAACCAUGUAGACUACGUGGUUGAUAGGUCAGGUGUGUAAGUACAGCAAUGUAUUGAGCUAACUGAUACUAAUGAUCCGUGCGGCUUGACCAU
rnacentral:rRNA from 1 species